UACGUGCUCCGGGGUCGGUGUAAUUCCGAACCGGCGGUGAUAGUCCGCGACCCGACCGCUCAUCAGCUUCACGAGCGGCCGGUUGACCUGGUGGAACUCCGGGACCGACGGUGAAAGUCCGGAUGGGAGGCAGCACGAA
rnacentral:ncRNA from 2 species